rnacentral:rRNA from 1 species
CCUAUUGAAUAUACCCGAUCUCGUCUGAUCUCGGAAGUCAAGCAAUCUCGGGCUUGGUUAGUACUUGGAUGGGUGACCGCUUGGGAAUACCAAGUGUGAUAAGCA